CUUCGACGCCGGUUCACCGCCUGUCGGUGCCAACUGGCGUUUUGCGGGACGUCCUGUCGGUGGUGUGUCAGGGAUCUUAGUUGUGCUAGGCUCUGCUUAGUGCAGCUCUGGUUUCGGGCCACUUUCAUAAUCCCGCCGCGGUGCUCUUAAUCGAGUGUCGAGGCGGGCCGGCACGUUUACUUUGAACAAAUUAGAGUGCUUCAAGCAGGCUUGUCACGCCUGUAUACUGUGUGCAUGGAAUAAUGGAAUAGGACCUCGGUUCUAUUUUGUUGGUUUCCGGAAUCUGAGGUAAUGAUCAAUGGGGACAGGCGGGGGCAUUCGUAUUGCGACGUUAGAGGUGAAAUUCUUGGAUCGUCGCAAGACGGACCGAAGCGAAAGCAUUUGCCAAGUAUGUUCCCGUCGAUCAAGAACGAAAGUUAGAGGUUCGAAGGCGAUCAGAUACCGCCCUAGUUCUAACCAUAAACAAUGCCUGCCAGCGAUCCGCCGGCGUCCCUCCGAUGACCCGGCGGGCAGCUUCCGGGAAACCAGAGCUUUUGGGUUCCGGGGGAAGUAUGGUUGCAAAGCUGAAACUUAAAGGAAUUGACGGAAGGGCACCACCAGGAGUGGAGCCUGCGGCUUAAUUUGACUCAACACGGGAAAACUCACCAGGCCCGGACACCGGAAGGAUUGACAGAUUGAUAGCUCUUUCUUGAUUCGGUGGGUGGUGGUGCAUGGCCGUUCUUAGUUGGUGGAGCGAUUUGUCUGGUUAAUUCCGAUAACGAACGAGACUCUAGCCUACUAACUAGACGUAUCUGGUAUCAGCAAUCGUGCUACCAGCGAUCAUAUCUCUUCUUAGAGGGACAGGCGGCUUCUAGCCGCACGAGACUGAGCAAUAACAGGUCUGUGAUGCCCUUAGAUGUCCUGGGCCGCACGCGCGCUACACUGAAGGAAUCAGCGUGUCUUCCCUGUCCGAAAGGACCGGGUAACCCGCUGAACCUCCUUCGUGCUUGGGAUUGGGGCUUGCAAUUGUUCCCCAUGAACGAGGAAUUCCCAGUAAGCGCGAGUCAUAAGCUCGCGUUGAUUACGUCCCUGCCCUUUGUACACACCGCCCGUCGCUACUACCGAUUGAAUGAUUUAGUGAGGUCUUCGGACCGGUGCGCGGAGGCGGUUCUCUGCUCCCGAUGUUGUCGGAAAGAUGACCAAACUUGAUCAUU
rnacentral:rRNA from 1 species